UCACUCUUGUUUCUUUCCAGAUAGUAUAAAUCUUUCGCCUUUUACUAAAGAUUUCUGUGGGGAGGAGCAACAAGAGUCUAGCUCAAGUUUUUGAUCCUCUGCGAAAGCGGAGC